UACGUAGGGGGCGAGCGUUGUCCGGAAUUAUUGGGCGUAAAGAGCUCGUAGGCGGUUUGUCGCGUCGGCCGUGAAAACUUGGGGCUUAACUCCAAGCUUGCGGUCGAUACGGGCAGACUUGAGUUCGGCAGGGGAGACUGGAAUUCCUGGUGUAGCGGUGAAAUGCGCAGAUAUCAGGAGGAACACCGAUGGCGAAGGCAGGUCUCUGGGCCGCUACUGACGCUGAGAAGCGAAAGCAUGGGGAGCGAACAGG
rnacentral:rRNA from 1 species